UUUCUCAGCUCCACUCUGUGCAGCGUGCAGAGCUUCAAGGCGUGUGACUGAAAACUUGGGAAUUCUGUUAUCAAGAUGUCAUUGGAGGCCCAUUAUAACAAACAUGCAAAAUGGUUUUGGGUGACAUUUUAUGGUCCUCCUGUGAACUGAAGUUUUCAGGCACCAGAAUGAGAAAUGGUAUCAGACCUGGGAGUGUAUUCAUAAACUUCCUGUUUUCUUCUAAGAAAACUUGAUAAGUGUUUUGGGAAAUCUGAGGUCUAUCCCGACUGGCCCCUCUCAGUAGGGCUUAGUCGUUGGAAAUGCCUCAAAGAUAAAGUCUGUAGUAUCGCUUUACCCAUGUUGCUAAUUUCAUUAGCUUUGUGGGAAAAACACUGCAGUACAUUCAAUUAGAAUAAAGCAUAUAUUUUAAUUUGUGGAAGAGCAACAUCUCAUCUGUAAAUUUCCACUCUGUAGGUGUGAUCAGAUGAACGUCCACUAGAUGGCACAGCACCCGUCUUCAUGCUGACGGAGGAUUGUUGGAGCUCCCAAAUGGCUGGACUGAAAAAUGAAUGGAGGGCUCCAAUCUUGCACAGUGCUACAGUUUGAAAAAAAUGGAAGCGUUUCCUUACCAGACUUUUCCACGAAGGUGAGAGCCAAUCCACAUCUUUGGAUCACUUUCAAAGGGGGUCAGCCACUUCUCAUCACUGGCGAUCCUUAACGCUGUGAUCCCACAUCAGUGCCCUGUGAGACCUUUUGCAGGUCUUUUUGCUACAUGAAAUGCCUGCUGUCUUUAGGGCAACACUUUAAUUAUAAGCAGUUUCAGACCUGUUGUGUUGGCAUUUUAAAUCUGAACGCUGCUUCACUUUUGUUUUAAACAGCUGGUGAGGCGUUUGUGCUGUACUGGAAGCCAUAAACCUUACCUUUGUGGUGAUGUAGGUUUGAUUAAAGUAAUGUAUUAGUGUUUGUGUACCACGAAUGUAGUAAUUAUUACAAUAAAGAUCCUGUCAUAGAGAA